CACUCAGGAAAUCCACAGUGCCCCGGUCAGCGCUAGCCAUGACGAAGACUUUUACAUGCAUAUACCACUUGCUUGUUCUGAGCUGGUAUAUUUUCCUCAAUUAUUACAUCACACAGGAUGAAACAGAUGAAGUGAAAUCCAAAAUCUUUGCAAAUGGUGGCAAGUGGAAAUACAUGACGCUGCUUAAUAUGCUUUUGCAGACCAUUUUCUACGAGGUUGCCUGCCUGGGUGAUGUGCUGAAAAGAUCAGAGGGAGAAAAGACAUGACGUUCCUAACUGCCUUCAGAGACCUGCUUUUCGCCACACUGGCUUUUCCUAUAUCCACAUUUGUAUUUUUGGCAUUCUGGAUCCUUUUUCUCUACAAUCGAGAUCUUAUUUACCCCAAGGCCCUAGAUACUCUUCUCCCAGCGUGGCUGAAUCAUGCAGUGCACACUUUCAUAUUGCCCAUCACGUUGACUGAAGUCAUCCUCAGGCCGCACUCCUAUCCGUCAAAGAAGACAGGACUCGCCUUGCUGGCUGCUGGCAGCAUUGCUUAUGUCAGCAGGAUCCUAUGGAUCUACUUUGAGACGGGUACCUGGGUGUAUCCUCUGCUUGCUAAACUCAGCCCUGUGGGGCUAGCAGCUUUCUUCUCUCUCAGCUACAUCUUCAUCACCAGCAUCUACCUACUCAGAGAGAAGCUCAACCACUGGAAAUGGGGUGACAUGAUGCUGCCACAGAAGAAGAGGAAGUGA